UUUAACAGAAUCUUCGUCCUCAGCGAACCUCCCCCUCGAAGAGUCCUGCUUCUCCCUCUCGCCCCCCUCCACCGAACCGGAGUCCUGCUUCUCCCUCUCGCCCCCUCCGCCGAACCUCCUCUACCCCAUGUAUGGUUGAUGCAUCAGAUGCAGAGGUAUGCGGGUGGUGCAUCCACCAUAGUUUGAAGAAAGGAGGCCGCAAUUGAAGCUUCAGGUUCCCGAGUUGAAGAUUUAUAUGGUUGAUGCAUCAGAUGCAGAGGUUUGAUGCAGAUGCGGUGGUGCAUCCACGAUAGUUUGAAGAAAGGAGGCCGCAAUUGAAGCUUCAGGUUCCCCAGUUGAGGAUUUAUAUUGGGCCGGCAGCAUGACAACUCACACUCCAUGCCUAUUCGAGUUCAUCUCCCAUUAAUCCUGCCCCACCCCGCAUUGUUAAAUCCCUCCUUUCUAUCUAUUGAAUUCAUCACGGAGCCCCUAAUAAUUUAGCUUGAUCCAUAAUGUCUCAUCGGGUAAAACUAGCUCUUCCUGUUUCUAAUUUCAGCAGCUCUCUUCCCUGUAUCAGGUUAUACGUCUUGGGAAGCGGAGGAAAACCAGCUAGGUGGUCUGCAUGCAUCACCUAGAGUGGGGCCUUGCUGUAAGCUUGUGUUAGACAUUUACACUACAUCUAUAUCAAGAAGCCAUGCACGGGCCAGUUCACAUUGAUUAUUUAUAGGAAGCUUUAAGUGCCUUACCAUGCGACCCUUUGUUAGAAAACAGAUUAGUUGAUGAUUCCUACAGACAGAAUUUUAUUGUAUGUUAUUUCUUCCAAGUAAAUGCAAGUUGUUAAAUUAUCUGUGUGGUAGCUUGGUAUAUACAUUUAAUAAUUUUCUCUUCUAGGAUUUAAAAAUGUAUGCUGACAGAUGUUGAUCUGUCCAUUGUCGCCUCUUUCAUGUGAUGUUACCUGUCGGCUCAACCAGUGCAGGGUUGCUAUUCUCUUGGCCGAGGUCUCUGUUGCCUCUUCCAUGUGCUGCCACCACUCUCCACAACCAACCUAGGCCAAGGAUGGACAACGGCGUUGAAAGAGCACCUCACAGGCGUUUGUGUUAGACAAGAAUUUAAGUGCAGGUUAAUCUCUCUUGAUGGAAAAUUUUGGCCAUCCGUUCUGUAGUAACUGUAUUUUUUCGAUAAACAGUAACUGUAAUUAGGUAUGUGAGAAUUAAUAGAUUUUGACAUAACAAAUCAGGUGCUUCAACCGAGUCGCUCGUGUGGCAAUUACUGCUGAGAGAUAACGUAUAUUUGCAUUGAAGCAGGCAGAUUCUUUUUUCUUUUGCGGAAAGAAGCAGACAGAGGCUCAUGUGGGCUCUUAGAUAUUUUCACGUUAUAUAAUCUCCUACUGAAUAUUUGUUGUUUGCGUACAUAGCAGUUUUUUAAUCAUGGCGUUUAAGCGCUUAUAUAAGAACUCUGCAUUAGAGAUGGCCUAAUCACAGUUGUACCAUUAGAAGGAAAUACAUGAUACAAUGGUCACUUUUGAGCAACACACCUGCAGCCAUUUGUAGCACCCUGCACCACAAACCAUAGGACUUUUAUCUCUAUGGUAUUCCAGUGGUGAAAAUAGAACUCAUUCUGACAUGAUUUUGGUUUGGGUACAUAUAGAGCAACCAUACAUUGGUAAAUGCAUUUGAAAUUCUGAACCAAAUUUAUGCUUAAUUUGAAAGGAAAUCAAGUCGUGUUUGUUCUUCUUUAGUAACAAAUUAUUAUUUCCGAACUUUGAUUUCUAUUUUUGUUGAAGCUCUCCCCUAAUAACCUUUUUCUAGAAGUCUUAGUUAUGAUUUGUUUAACAAACGUGCAUCUUUCUGCGGCCAAAUUGUACUGCAGAAAUUCUAUUGUAAACAUGAUUUCUAAUAGCGUAUAAGCUUGCCUUGCUAGAUAUGUAGUAAGAUUUUCGAACUGUUGCCCACCCAAAAAAUAAACUAGAUCUAUGGCAUAAUUAGUUAUAUAUAUAUAGGUUCCUGUUUACAGUUCAUGCAUUUAUUGUAUUGAAAAGGGAUCCGGAUGUACGUUAUAUAUGUAGGUUCCUAUUUACAAUACUCAUAUAAAAAUUUCCUGUAUAUAACCAUGGAAUCCAUACUUCCUAGGUUCGUUUCUGAAAAUAUUCAUGUUCAUUCCUUUGGAGUUCUACUGUCUAGAUUUUAGAGAUGCUACAUAUACAAAAUGUGAUAAUGUAUUUUCAGCUAUGAUAUUGAGUGCCCUUUUAAUGAUUUCCACAUUUAAAGUGGGGAGCUGUGUACAUUAAUAAUGAUCCAAAUAAUGUUAGCUAAACAUGUUUUUACGAAAUUAACAAAUUUACGUGUUCCAUUCUGCGCAACAGAAUAUUUAGAGUACAUGCAUGACACUAUAUCUACGCCAAGCAGUACUAUAGAGUAGGCACUUUAAAAGAAACUUAUGUAAGCAAGUUUAAGAACUACCAUAAUCCUGUUAAGUAUAUUGCAAAUAGGAUGUAUAAUCCGUAUCUAUAAUUUUCAAAUGAUUUUAACUGCCUCCAGUUUUAGUAUGGCCACGUUAUGAGUCGCAUUGUAACUACAGCCGCUAUUGCAAGUUUGACUUGAAUUUGGCUUCUGUAGGUAUGGAAUCGAUUCACCUCUCCAUAGGUUUCUACCUCUCCGAAUUCCUCUUCAUGUUGCCACAUAGUUACAUUCUUUUUUGUUUUGGGAAAAUCAAUUAUAGAUCCAUUGUUUCAUGUACAAUGCACAUGCUCUUCUAUUUGUUUUUGAACUGAUCCUUCCAUUGUUUCUUGCUAAUUUGGAAUUAUCCAGUCUUUUGUAUAUUCACUUGCAUAGAUGGUUUAAUGCAGAACCUAAACCGAAGAAUAUAAUAUAGCGCAUGUAUUGGGUCGUUUCUCUGAAGAAGAGUAAGCAAACCAAACUUUUAACUUGAGCUCCAAAGAAGUUGCUGAAUGAUCUAGCUUUUUGGGAGUUUUACUAAGCUGAAACAAUGUAGCACAGUAAGAACAAUAUUCUGAUUCCAUAACUUAAAUAUUAAAUUUUCAUACCACAUUUUCUUAACCAUGAUUUUGGAUGAUGGGGAAAUUAUUUCAAAUCUGAAUUCGGCACGCAUGUUUCCAGUCGAAACAAUAACUGAACUGAUAAGUAUGCAACAAUUUCUGUCGUGCGGCGUUAGUAAAAUGUUGUAAGUUACUAUUUCAGAUAAGUAACCACUAUAUUAUUUUCUAUGUAAUUGACAUGUACACAUGUCGUUACUCCACCUGAACCAUCAAUCUCCGUGUUACCAGCCCCAGGCUUCCAUCGCAACAAUCUAAAGGUUUGCUGCACACAAGCUCCUCUCACAAAUUGACUCCACUAAUUGUGACCGAGAAUGUGUGUUGCCAUAAUGCUGACCUUAUCCUGGCCUGAGUACAAUUGCCUUAUGUAAUACGAUUGGAAGCUCUUUUCUUCUAGAUGUAUUGGUUUCUGCAGGUUCCUCGGAUGCUGCCUUUGAGUGAUACGAUGGCACGCUCACCAGUUGCUCUGUCAACAUGGAAAACUGGCUCGACUAUAUUUCUUAUGUGUCUUAAUAAGUACUGUUGUGAUUUUUUUCUUUCUAGCAAUGCAAAUUUUCUAAGCAGUAGACUUUCUGAGACGCUGAGGUCUCCGAUGAUUAAUUAUGCUUUGUGAGAUUUAAGCACUUGGUUCAGACAAACUAGGUAAUUCUCAGUUGGUCUCCUUAAUUUCUAACUGAAUAUACAUAUAUAGCGAUAGUAAGGCCGUGCAUUAAAUAGUUGGAUAAUUCUUCAUAUUUUAUUCUAACUAUGUUCAAAUCAGUGUUGGAGGCUCCCUGAUCGAUUACCUUUUCCAUAUAUGAAUUAUUAAUAUAAGAAAUAUAUUGGUUCUUUAGCUUUUCCAGGUAGAAGAUGAUUUAAAGGUAGACACCCGAGCUGGUUACUGCAAUAACAGCCAAUUGCCAGACAUGAUUACAUUUACCAGACCAAGCACUAUUUGGGUAGUAAAAUUAGCAUCGAGUGGACAGGACCAGAUAAGAGGUCAUGGUCAACAAUGGUGCUCGAGGAAAUGGAUAUAUAUGGUUAUAAGGUUGCAGGAAAAGCUGUAUAUGACCUCAACAAGUUGCAAUUCACUUCCAUAAUUAUCUAUGUUGAGAGUUCCAUUUAGCUCGAUAAUUGUGCUUUGUUCCGAACAACAUGCCCUUAAUGUACAUAUCAUGGUUUUAAUAUCUAAUACAUUGGUAAAAUUAGCAUCUGAGUGGUCAGGACCAGAGAAGAGGUCAUGGUCAACAAUGGUGCUCGAGGAAAUGGAUAUAUAUAUGGUUAUAAGGUUGUAGGAAAGUGUACAUGACGUCAGCAAGUUGUAAUCUCUACCACAAUUAUCUAUGUUAAGAGUUUCAUUUAGCUCGAUAGUCGUGCUUUACUCCAGGGACAACAUGCCC